ensembl:lncRNA
GUGGUAGCAUAGUGGUUAAGAGGUAGGGUCAGUAACUGGGUGGUAGUCUAGAGGUUAAGCGGUAGGGUCAGUAACUGGGUGGUUAAGAGGUAGGGUCAGUAACUGGAUGGUAGCCUAGUGGUUAAGAGGUAGGGUCAGUAACUGGGUGGUAGUCUAGUGGUUAAGAGGUAGGGUCAGUAACUGGGUGGUUAAGAGGUAGGGUCAGUAACUGGGUGGUAGUCUAGUGGUUAAGAUGUAGGGUCAGUAACUGGGUGGUAGUCUAGUGGUUAAGAGGUAGGGUCAGUAACUGGGUGGUAGUCUAGUGGUUAAGAGGUAGGGUCAGUAACUGGGUGGUUAAGAGGUAGGGUCAGUAACUGGGUGGUAGUCUAGUGGUUAAGAGGUAGGGUCAGUAACUGAAAAGGCGCUGGUUCAAUUCCCUGAGCUGUCAAAAAAUGAAUCUGCUGUUUUGCCCAACAACA